rfam:Porphyromonas gingivalis W83, complete genome.
GCGCCUGGGUAAGUCCUAUACGGCAUGCUCCCUUUGAUUCCCCCAGGGCUUGAUCGCAGCAAGGGUAUUAGGUCGUAGCGGCGCGAUAUAGCCAGCUUACCCAUCC